rnacentral:rRNA from 1 species
GACGAACGCUGGCGGCGUGCUUAACACAUGCAAGUCGAACGGUGAAGCGCCUUCCUUUUUGGUGGGUGUGGAUGAGUGGCGAACGGGUGAGUAACACGUGAGUAACCUGCCCCCUUCUUCUGGAUAACCGCAUGAAAGUGUGGCUAAUACGGGAUAUUCUGGUUCUGUCGCAUGAUGGGUCUGGGAAAGAUAUUGUUUCGGUGGGGGAUGGGCUCGCGGCCUAUCAGCUUGUUGGUGGGGUGAUGGCCUACCAAGGCGGUGACGGGUAGCCGGCCUGAGAGGGUGGACGGUCACACUGGGACUGAGACACGGCCCAGACUCCUACGGGAGGCAGCAGUGGGGAAUAUUGCACAAUGGGCGCAAGCCUGAUGCAGCGACGCCGCGUGAGGGAUGGAGGCCUUCGGGUUGUGAACCUCUUUCGCCAGUGAGGCAGGCCUGCCUCGUUUGUGGGUGGGUUGACGGUAGCUGGAUAAGAAGCGCCGGCUAACUACGUG